rnacentral:rRNA from 1 species
CUACGGGAGGCAGCAGUGAGGAAUAUUGGACAAUGGAGGGAACUCUGAUCCAGCCAUGCCGCGUGAAGGAUGAAGGCGCUCAGCGUUGUAAACUUCUUUUGAGUGGGAACAAAACCCCCGACGUGUCGGGGACUGAGGGUACCACUAGAAUAAGCACCGGCUAACUCCGUGCCAGCAGCCGCGGUAAUACGGAGGGUGCGAGCGUUAUCCGGAAUCACUGGGUUUAAAGGGUGCGUAGGCUGCCCGAUAAGUCAGUCGUGAAAUGCCCCGGCUCAACCGGCGGAACUGCGAUUGAUACUGUUGGGCUUGAAUCAGGUUGAGGCAGGCGGAAUGUGACAUGUAGCGGUGAAAUGCUUAGAUAUGUCAUAGAACACCGAUUGCGAAGGCAGCUUGCUGGGCCUAGAUUGACGCUGAGGCACGAAAGCGUGGGGAGCAAACAGGAUUAGAUACCCCGGUAGG